CACUCCUACGGGAGGCAGCAGUGGGGAAUUUUGGACAAUGGGCGAAAGCCUGAUCCAGCAAUGCCGCGUGAGUGAAGAAGGCCUUCGGGUUGUAAAGCUCUUUUGUCAGGGAAGAAACGGUGAAAGCUAAUAUCUUUUGCUAAUGACGGUACCUGAAGAAUAAGCACCGGCUAACUACGUGCCAGCAGCCGCGGUAAUACGUAGGGUGCAAGCGUUAAUCGGAAUUACUGGGCGUAAAGCGUGCGCAGGCGGUUUUGUAAGUCUGAUGUGAAAUCCCCGGGCUCAACCUGGGAAUUGCAUUGGAGACUGCAAGGCUAGAAUCUGGCAGAGGGGGGUAGAAUUCCACGUGUAGCAGUGAAAUGCGUAGAUAUGUGGAGGAACACCGAUGGCGAAGGCAGCCCCCUGGGUCAAGAUUGACGCUCAUGCACGAAAGCGUGGGGAGCAAACAGGAUUAGAUACCCUAGUAGUCCCA
rnacentral:rRNA from 1 species